GACGAACGCUGGCGGCGUGCUUAACACAUGCAAGUCGAACGGAAAGGCCCUGCUUUUGUGGGGUGCUCGAGUGGCGAACGGGUGAGUAACACGUGAGUAACCUGCCCUUGACUUUGGGAUAACUUCAGGAAACUGGGGCUAAUACCGGAUAGGAGCUCCUGCUGCAUGGUGGGGGUUGGAAAGUUUCGGCGGUUGGGGAUGGACUCGCGGCUUAUCAGCUUGUUGGUGGGGUAGUGGCUUACCAAGGCUUUGACGGGUAGCCGGCCUGAGAGGGUGACCGGCCACAUUGGGACUGAGAUACGGCCCAGCCUCCUACGGGAGGCAGCAGUGGGGAAUAUUGCACAAUGGGCGGAAGCCUGAUGCAGCAACGCCGCGUGCGGAAUGACGGCCUUCGGGUUGUAAACCGCUUUCGCCUGUGACGAAGCGUGAGUGACGGUAAUGGGUAAAGAAGCACCGGCUAACUACGUG
rnacentral:rRNA from 1 species